rnacentral:rRNA from 1 species
UACGGAGGGUGCAAGCGUUAUCCGGAUUCACUGGGUUUAAAGGGUGCGUAGGCGGAUAGGUAAGUCCGUGGUGAAAUCCUGCAGCUUAACUGCAGAACUGCCAUGGAUACUAUUUAUCUUGAAUAUCGUGGAGGUUAGCGGAAUAUGUCAUGUAGCGGUGAAAUGCUUAGAUAUGACAUAGAACACCCAGUGCGAAGGCAGCUAACUACGCGAUAAUUGACGCUGAUGCACGAAAGCGUGGGGAUCAAACAGG